AUUGAACGCUGGCGGCAGGCUUAACACAUGCAAGUCGAGCGGAGCGAGGGUGCUUGCACCUUAGCUUAGCGGCGGACGGGUGAGUAAUGCUUAGGAAUCUGCCUAUUAGUGGGGGAUAACGCGGGGAAACUCGCGCUAAUACCGCAUACGUCCUACGGGAGAAAGCGGGGGCUCUUCGGACCUCGCGCUAACAGAUGAGCCUAGGUCGGAUUAGCUAGUUGGUGGGGUAAUGGCUCACCAAGGCGACGAUCCGUAACUGGUCUGAGAGGAUGAUCAGUCACACUGGAACUGAGACACGGUCCAGACUCCUACGGGAGGCAGCAGUGGGGAAUAUUGGACAAUGGGCGAAAGCCUGAUCCAGCCAUGCCGCGUGUGUGAAGAAGGUCUUCGGAUUGUAAAGCACUUUAAGUCGGGAGGAAGGGCUGUAGGUUAAUACCCUGCAGUUUUGACGUUACCGACAGAAUAAGCACCGGCUAACUUCGUGCCAGCAGCCGCCGUAAAAC
rnacentral:rRNA from 1 species